rnacentral:lncRNA from 1 species
GUUUGAAAUGUGUAUCAACAAGUUUUGGAUUUCAUUUUUAUAUUUUGAAUGUCAUUUCCACGUGGAUAUCCUGGCCAGAAUUCCGAAAGGCGAGGGACUUCAGUUGUUCGCCAACUGACAGGUUUUUAACACCUGAACUCUGGCUGCAGUCAUUGGCCAAGGCGUUGCAGGGUUAUCCUCUACGGACUGCAGCAUUCGAUUGAAUCAUGCUCUGGUAACGUUUCCAGGCGAGCUGGCUUUCCAAUGAACUCUUCACGACAUGGCAGAUGACACCACCAGGGCAUACUGUUAGGUGAAGCAAGGUUUUAUAUAUGAACUUACACAUACACGCUCACAUGUACGCACACGCACACGCACGCACACACGCACGCACACACACACGCAAGCACGCACACACGCGCGCACACACACACGCACGCACACACACACACACACACACACACACACACACACACACACACACACACACACACACACACACACACACACACACACACACACAUUUGCGCCCUCACAUCCACAAACGUAUUAUUUCCUCAUUUCAAUUUCAGUCUUUAUUUUUCCUUUCCUCGGGUAUGUCAUAAAAGCCUGAUGGCCGAUAUCACUGGCCUCAAAUACCACCGAACAUCAAGGCAGCAUAUGUCCCUGGAGGAGAAACAGUGAGCAACCAGUCGAAGGCAACAGAGUGCCACCCCUGCAGAGCACCAUGGCACAGCUGAACAGCGAAGGUUUGCCGAGUGCCGUUUUCAUCCUUUGAACUUGCCGUUCAGUCUCUGUGAUUACCUGGAACUGAACAGGAAAAUGUUUCCGCCACCGCAGCCCAGAUGGUCAUAAAAAGGUGCCUAAAUUACUAAAGUUUUGGCGAAGUUUCUUGCCAAGAAAUUGGCAAGCAGUUUGAUUAUUGAUGAAAGGACUGACUGCUCCACCGAUAGAGCUUGUGCCUUAGUUGUCAAGUAUUUUGACAAGGAAAGCAAUAAAAUCCAAACGGUCAUGCUAAACCUCAUCAAUGUUCAUGAUGGAUAUGAUGGGUCAUCUGGAGAGUCUCUCUUUAACCUAAUCCUUAACUCUCUUAAUUCAUACGAAAUCCUUCUUAGCAACCUGGUUGGCUUUACUGCUGAUGGGGCAUCCAAUAUCAUGAGUGCUCUAAAUAGUGUGAGCAGCAGAUUGAAGGCUCGGAUUCCUGGUAUAACCAUUUUUAAGUGUGUAGCUCACAGUAUUCAUUUAUGUUCCAGCGGCAAAAACACUUCCCCAAAACUAUGAUGACAAUUGGAAAUGUUUACAACUUUUUCUGUCACAGUGCUAAAAGAAAAUAUGAAUUCUAAGAUUACCAGGCAUUUUGUGGUGUCAAGCCUCAUAAGGUGCUACACCCGUGACUCUCUUUAGCACAAGCUGUGGAACGGGUGCUCGAUCAAUGAAUUUGCCAGGCUCUGGAUAACAAAGCAAUUUAUAAUUAUUUGAAGUUUUUGAAUUACAUCUUACCGCUCCUCAACAAAGUAAAUUUGAUAAUUUCAAUCAAAAGGACCAACCCUUCAUUUAGCUCGCGAAAAUGUUUCAAAUUUAUAUCUGAAAUUGCUUUAUUAUUUCUGUCAGCCACAAAUACUACAAGCGAUGACGUUCAAUGAAAUAGAUCCUUCAGACUCAACAAUACCUCUGCCAGUUCGGUAAAUAUAGCAUUUGAGUAUGUCCACAUCCUCCUCCAGACACCCAAAACUACAAAUUGAUUACAAAGAUUUAAAAAAAGAAAAACACGUGGAGAGCUUCUUUAAUAAAAAUCAAAUCAGAAAAAAAAGGUUUGAUCUUGCUAAUCCGCAAUAGGAAAUGGCAUCAGAUUUACCGCCAAAAAAACAUCAUUCAUUCAAAUAUAAGACCUACUGUUCCAUCGUUAAUACAGUUGGCCAAAGAAGUAUGAUAUGCAGUCACUCGCAGACCAGUGGCGAGAUAUUGCAUGAGAAAUAAAAAGGGAAAGAAAGAUCAAAGUUGAAAUUAGAAACAAUAAGAUCACUUAUUCAUUUAAGUGAUUGUGCGAAAAUAUGG